GGGUGUGAUUAUACUAGCACUAAUGCAUCGGAUUCCAUCAAAACUCCACAAUUAAACGUGCUUGGGCAAGAGUAGUACUAGGAUGGGUGACCUCCUAGGAAGUCCUCGUGUUGCACCCC